rnacentral:rRNA from 1 species
CACUCUAAGCGGUGGAUCACUCGGCUCAGGGGUAAAUGAAGAACGCAGCAAACUGUGCGUCAUCGUGUGAACUGCAUGUAGCAUGAUCAUCGACAUUUUGAACGCAUAUCGCAGUCCAUGCUGUUUUGUACUUUAAUUAAUUUUAUAGUGCUGCUUGGACUACAUAUGGUUGAGGGUUG